CGGGACAGGUGAGUAAUGUCUGGGAAACUGCCCGAUGGAGGGGGAUAACUACUGGAAACGGUAGCUAAUACCGCAUAACGUCGCAAGACCAAAGAGGGGGACCUUCGGGCCUCUUGCCAUCGGAUGUGCCCAGAUGGGAUUAGCUAGUAGGUGGGGUAACGGCUCACCUAGGCGACGAUCCCUAGCUGGUCUGAGAGGAUGACCAGCCACACUGGAACUGAGACACGGUCCAG
rnacentral:rRNA from 1 species